UACGUAGGGUGCAAGCGUUGUCCGGAAUUAUUGGGCGUAAAGAGCUCGUAGGCGGUCUGUCGCGUCGGCUGUGAAAUCCCGAGGCUCAACCUCGGGUCUGCAGUCGAUACGGGCAGACUGGAGUACUGCAGGGGAGACUGGAAUUCCUGGUGUAGCGGUGGAAUGCGCAGAUAUCGGGAAGAACACCCGUGGCGAAGGCGGUUCUCUGGGACGGUACUGACGCUGAGACGCGAAAGCGUGGGGAGCGAACAGG
rnacentral:rRNA from 1 species